rnacentral:rRNA from 1 species
AACGAACGCUGGCGGCAGGCUUAACCCAUGCAAGUCGAACGCAUCCUUCGGGGUGAGUGGCAGACGGGUGAGUAACGCGUGGGAACGUGCCCUUCAGUUCGGGAUAACCCAGGGAAACUUGGGCUAAUACCGGAUACGUGCGAGAGCAGUAAGAUUUAUCGCUGAAGGAUCGGCGCGCGUCUGAUUAGCUAGUUGGUCGGGUAACGGCCCACCAAGGCGACGCUCAGUAGCUGGUCUGAGAGGUUGAUCAGCCACAUUGGGACUGAGACACGGCCCAAACUCCUACGGGAGGCAGCAGUGGGGAAUAUUGGACAAUGGGCGCAAGCCUGAUCCAGCCAUGCCGGGUGAGUGAUGAAGGCCUUAGGGUUGUAAAGCUCUUUCGUCCGGGACGAUAAUGACGGUACCGGAAGAAGAAGCCCCGGCUAACUUCGUGCCAGCCGCCGCCGUAA